ACUAUUUUCUACAUUGUAGAAUAAUAGUGAAGACAUCAAAACUAUGAAAUAACACAUAUGGAAUCAUGUAGUAACAAAAAAAGUAAAACAAAUCUAAAUAUAUUAUAUAUUUGAUAUUCUUCAAAAUAGCCACCCUUUGCCUUGAUGACAGCUUAACACACUCUUGGCAUUCUCUCAAUCAGCUUCACAUAGAAUGCUUUUCCAACACUCUGCAGUCCAACUCAUCCCAAAACAUCUCAAUUGCGUUGAGGUCGGGUGAUUUUCGAGGCCAGGUCAUCUGAUGCAACUCCAUCACUCUCCUUGGCCAAAUAGCCCUUAAAUAGCCUGGAGAUGUGUUGGGUCAUCGUCUUGUUGAAAAACAAAUGAUAUGCCAACUAAGCGCGAACCAGAUGGGAUGGCGUUUUGCUGCAGAAUGCUGUGGAAUCCAUGCUGGUUAAGUGGGCCUUGAAUUCUAAAUAAAUCACAAACAGUGUCACAGGCAAAGCACACCCACACCAUCACACCUCCUCCUCCAUGUUUCACAGUGGGACCCACACAUGCAGAGAUCAUCUGUUCACCUACUCUGAGUCUCACAGACACAAAUAUUGGAACCAAAAAAAUGUCCACUGGUCUAACGUCCAUUGCUUGUGUUUAUUGGUGUCCUUUAGUAGAGGUUUCUUUGCAGCAAUUUGACCACGACGGCCUGAUUCACUCAAUCUCUUCUGAACAGUUGAUGUUGAGAUGCGUCUGUUACUUGAACGAUGUGAAACAUUUAUUUGGGCUGCAAUUUCUGAGGCUGGUAACUCUAAUGAACCUAUCCUCUGCAGCAGAGGUAACUCUGGGUCUUCCUUUCCUGUGGCGGUCCUCAUGAGAGCCAGUUUCAUCAUAGCGCUUGAUGGUUUUUGUAACUGCACUUGAAGAAACUUUAAUUGACUGACCUUCGUAUCUUAAAGUAAUGAUGGACUGUCAUUUCUCUUUGCUUAUUUGAGCUGUUCUUGUCAUAAUAUGGACUUGGUCUUUUACCAAAUAGGGCUAUCUUCUGUAUACCACCCUUAACAUGUCAGAACACAACUAAUUGGCUCCAACACAUUAAGAAGGAAAUAAAUUCCACAAUUGAAUUGAAAUGCAUUCCAGGUGACUACCUCAUGAAGCUGAUUGAAAGAAUGCCAAGAGUGUGCAAAGCUGUCAUCAAGGCAAAGGAUGGCUACUUUAAAGAAUCUCUAUGUUUUGAUUUUGGUACAACAUUAUUCCAUAUGUGUUGUUUCAUAGUUUUGAUGUCUUCACUAUUAUUAUAAAAUGUAGAAAAAAGUAAAAAAUAAAGAAAAACCCUGGAAUGAGUAGGUGUGUCCAAUCUUUGAAUGGUAAUGUGUAGCUAAGGACUAUUGUCGUUUUAGAAUCCGUAUCAUCACAUUUGACAUGCGGACGAAAAUUAGCUAGCUAGCUUGACUGCUAGCUAAGCCAGUCUCCAAUCAAUCCAUAUGAAUUUGUAUUUAUUAAAUUGUUUAAAUGUAAACUUUAUUUACCUAGGCAAGUCAGUUAAGAACAAAUUCUUAUUUACAAUGACGGCCUACCCUAGCCAAACCCUAAAGACGCUGAGCCAAUUGUCCAUCGCCCUAUGGGUAGAGUAGAAGUAGAAGUCCAAUGCCAGUGGCUCAGUCUGAUGCUUUGCCAUAGUCCCUAGCCAGUGGGUCAGUCUGAUGGUUUACUGUAGUAGUCCCUAGCCAGUGGGUCAGUCUGAUGGUUUGCCAUAGUCCCUAGCCAGUGGGUCAGUCUGAUGGUUUAAAGUAGAAGUCCCUAGCCAGUGGGUCAGUCUGAUGGUUUACAGUAGUAGUCCCUAGCCAGUGGGUCAGUCUGAUGGUUUGAAGUAGAAGUCCCUAGCCAGUGGGUCAGUCUGAUGGUUUACCAUAGUAGUCCCUAGCCAGUGGGUCAGUCUUAUGGUUUACUGUAGUAGUCCCUAGCCAGUGGGUCAGUCUGAUGAUUUAAAGUAGAAGUCCCUAGCCAGUGGGUCAGUCUGAUGGUUUAACGUAGAAGUCCCUAGCCAGUGGGUCAGUCUGAUGGUUUGCCAUAGUCCCUAGGCAGUGGGUCAGUCUGAUGGUUUACUGUAGUCGUCCCUAGCCAGUGGGUCAGUCUGAUGGUUUACCAUAGUCCCUAGCCAGUGGGUCAGUCUCUUGGUUUACUGUAGUAGUCCCUAGCCAGUGGGUAAGUCUCUUGGUUUACAGUAGUAGUCCCUAGCCAGUGGGUCAGUCUGAUGUUUACCUGUUGUAGAUCCUAGCCAGUGCGUCAGUCUGACGGGUUACCGUAGUAGUCCCUAGUCAUUGGGUCAGUCUGACGGUUUACUGUAGUAGUCCCUAGCCAGUGGUUCAGUCUGAUGGUUUACUGUAGUAGUCCCUAGCCAGUGGGUCAGUCUCUUGGUUUACUGUAGUAGUCUCUAGCCAGUGGGUCAGUCCCUUGGUUUACUGUAGUAGUCCCUAGCCAGUGGGUCAGUCUCUUGGUUUACAGUAGUAGUCCCUAGCCAGUGGUUCAGUCUCUUGGUUUACCGUAGUCGUCCCUAGCCAGUGGGUCAGUCUCUUGGUUUACUGUAAUAGUCUCUAGCCAGUGGGUCAGUCCCUUGGUUUACUGGUGUAGUCCCUAGCCAGUGGGUCAGUCUCUUGGUUUACUGUAGUAGUCCCUAGCCAGUGGGUCAGUCUGAUGGUUUACUGUAGAAGUCCCUAGCCAGUGGGUCAGUCUGAUGGUUUACAGUAGUAGUCCCGAGCCAGUGGGUCAGUAUGAUGGUUUACAAUAGUAGUCCCUAGCCAGUGGGUCAGUCUGAUGGUUUACAGUAGUAGUCCCUAGCCAGUGGGUCAGUCUCUUGGUUUAC
ensembl:lncRNA